rnacentral:rRNA from 1 species
UACGGAGGGGGCUAGCGUUGUUCGGAAUUACUGGGCGUAAAGCGCACGUAGGCGGCUUUGUAAGUUAGAGGUGAAAGCCCGGGGCUCAACUCCGGAAUUGCCUUUAAGACUGCAUCGCUAGAAUUGUGGAGAGGUAAGUGGAAUUCCGAGUGUAGAGGUGAAAUGCGUAGAUAUCCGGAGGAACACCAGUGGCGAAGGCGACCUUCUGGACCGCUCCUGACACUCAUACACGAAAGCUAGGGGAGCAAACGGG